GGGCCCGUAGCUCAGGGGUAGAGCAGCCGGCUCAUAACCGGUCGGUCGCAGGUUCGAUCCCUGCCGGGCCCA
rnacentral:tRNA from 3 species